rnacentral:miRNA from 1 species
CGAUGAUGUAAGCGGAACC